rnacentral:rRNA from 1 species
GAUGAACGCUGGCGGCGUGCUUAACACAUGCAAGUCGAACGAUGAAGCUGGAGCUUGCUCUAGCGGAUUAGUGGCGAACGGGUGAGUAACACGUGAGCAAUCUGCCCUUGACUCUGGGAUAACUGCGGGAAACUGUAGCUAAUACCGGAUACUUUCACCGGGGGGCAUCCUCUGGUGAUGAAAGAAUUUCGGUCAAGGAUGAGCUCGCGGCCUAUCAGCUUGUUGGUGAGGUAACGGCGCACGACGGAGACGACGGGUAACCGGCCUGAGAGGGUGACCGGUCACACUGGGACUGAGACACGGCCCAGACUCCUACGGGAGGCAGCAGUGGGGAAUAUUGCACAAUGGGCGCAAGCCUGAUGCAGCAACGCCGCGUGAGGGAUGAAGGCCUUCGGGUUGUAAACCUCUUUUAGCAGGGAAGAAGCGAAAGUGACGGUACCUGCAGAAAAAGCACCGGCUAACUACGUGCCAGCAGCCGCCGUAA